rnacentral:rRNA from 1 species
GCAUAUCAAUAAGCGGAGGAAAAGAAACUAACAAGGAUUCCCCUAGUAACGGCGAGUGAAGCGGGAAGAGCUCAAAUUUGAAAUCUGGCGGUCUACGGCCGUCCGAGUUGUAAUCUAGAGAGGUGUUUUCCGUGCCGGACCGUGUACAAGUCCCUUGGAACAGGGCGUCAUAGAGGGUGAGAAUCCCGUCCAUGACACGGACUCCCGGUGCUCUGCGAUACACCUUCAAAGAGUCGAGUUGUCUGGGAAUGCAGCUCAAAAUGGGUGGUAAAUUUCAUCUAAAGCUAAAUAUUGGCCAGAGACCGAUAGCGCACAAGUAGAGUGAUCGAAAGAUGAAAAGAACUUUAAAAAGAGAGUUAAACAGUACGUGAAAUUGUUGAAAGGGAAACGAUUGAAGCCAGUCGUACCUUCGGGUAAUCAGCCUUUCGAGUGCGAUUCUGUGGAGCGUGAGGAGUUAAACGCCUUCAUGACUGCAUAUUCGUGCACUUUGGGUGUACUUGCCCGUGUGGUAGGUUAACAUCAAUUUCGGAUGUCAUAAAAUGGCUGGAGGAAUGUAGCUUCGGUCUCGUACUGAAGUGUUAUAGCCUCUGGUAGAUGUGAUGACCGGGAUUGAGGAUUGCAACGAAUACCUUUUGGGCUAUCCGUCUGAUCUCUGAAAGUUGCUCUGGUGCCGAAAGCUUGCUUACGGUUAUCAAAGUUUGACGUUCAAAAGGUUAGAACGGGUUAAAUUCGUUAAGGAUGUUGACGUA